GGUUGGAGUGCACUUCGGAGAUGAAACUGAGAUGCCGGUCAGAAGAAGCUAAGCUGUGACUGGCAGAUGGUUCGGAACUUCCAACUAUGAUACAAUGAACAUCAUGCAGCAAUGAGAAGAAAUGGACUAGUGCUACCCGGGGCUAAUGGGAAAGCCUCAGAGAUCCUAUCCUGAGUGAAGGAAGGCAUGCGUAGAGGAUCUCAGAAAUCCCAUCCCAAAUGAUGGAAGACAUGCAUAGAGGAUCCCAGAAAUCCCAUCCCAAGUGAAGGAAGAUAUGCAUAGAGGAUCCCAGAAAUCCCAUCCCAAAUGAUGGAAGACAUGCAUAGAGGAUCCCAGGAAUCCCAUCCCAAGUGAAGGAAGGCAUGCAUAGAGGAGCAAGCACGAGCCACAAACCCUGUUCUCAUCUGAACUGGCACUGUGACACUUUCCCGAUCUAUAAUUGUACCUGUGUUUGUUGACUUAGCUGUAACCAGCCUCCCGUUCACUAGACUGUAAGUGCCAGGAAGUAUUACUCAUCAUGAAUCUUCAGCACCUAACAUUAUACUGAGCACACAGUUACUGUUUGGUGAGCGAGGACCACAGACUCAGUGAGCAACAGAGCAGAGAUCAGGGUGAUGCAGUGUCGGUCUGAUAUCUUGAGCCAUUGUUCUGUCUUGAUUCACACACUCAGUAGUCCCUUGGAAGCAUCUGAGCCACCGUGAGCAGCCAUGGAGCAACAGUUUCCUCCUGGCAUUGCCUGCUUGUCCAGUCCCCUCAAAGAAGGCCUGUGUUGGACAUUCUGAGCUCUACAAGCCUCCUGGCAUUUUCUGCUCAGUGAGCCCAUCCAUUCCCAUUUACUUCAGAGGGCAAAAGAUAUAAACUGCAAAAGACCUUCUUAUCCCAAGGACUCACUGGAUGUGUGCGCACUUUAUUCGGGACUGCUCUGUCCCAGUUCAUAUGCAUUCACCCUUUCACGUAAGCAAGUAUUUAAAGACACUCGCUUGCAGGCACUCUCCAUUGGACUGCUGCAGAGCCAAGCUACCCAGGGACAAAUGGGCAGAGCACUGGCUCCUAAGAAGAUCAGGAUCGGGUGGAAGAGUGCAGAGGAAUGGGAGAAGCCACACUACACUCCUUGGAGCACUCUUAUGGACUUGCCGGGCUAUCUAUGUCAAAGAGCCAUGUGACACCAAGCUUUGUCACCUCAUUUAGCUUGCUUCAGUUUCCAUAUAGGAUUGUCGUGACCAUUGAGUGCCAGUGCUUAAGCAAUGCUCAAAGAUAUAUUAAAUUCUCAAUCAAUAUAAGAAAUAAAAAUGAUGGUAGUGGUGGUAA